GGACAGGUGGCCGAGUGGUUAAAGGCAGCAGACUGUAAAUCUGCCGGACAUGGUCCUACGCUGGUUCGAAUCCAGCCCUGUCCACCA
rnacentral:tRNA from 1 species